rnacentral:lncRNA from 1 species
AAAUUGUCUUCUUCAUUUCCAAUACUAAUUUAUUUAUGUUUCAAUGUUUCCUAAAACUUCUAGUGUGGAAAGAACUGUGAAUGUCAGAAAGGAGAUCAAGGGCCUCCCGGGCCACCUGGUGGCCAUGGAGGAAGAGGGGAUAAAGGUGAACAAGGACCCAAGGGACAAAAGGGCGAGGCUGAGAAAGGAGAACCUGGUGAAAAAGGUUCAGAG